rnacentral:rRNA from 1 species
GACGAACGCUGGCGGCGUGCUUAACACAUGCAAGUCGAACGGAAAGGCCUGCUUUCCCUUGUGGAUUGCGGGUACUCGAGUGGCGAACGGGUGAGUAACACGUGAGUGAUCUGCCCCCAACUUGGGUAUAAGCCUGGGAAACUGGGUCUAAUUCCCGAUAGGACUGCAGGGUGGUGCCUGUUGUGGAAAACGAUUUUCUAGUGGUUGGGGAUGAGCUCGCGGCCUAUCAGCUUGUUGGUGGGGUAAUGGCCUACCAAGGCGGCGACGGGUAGCCGGCCUGAGAGGGUGGACGGCCACAUUGGGACUGAGAUACGGCCCAGACUCCGACGGGAGGCAGCAGUGGGGAAUAUUGCACAAUGGGCGGAAGCCUGAUGCAGCGACGCCGCGUGGGGGAUGACGGCCUUCGGGUGGUAAACUCCUUUCGACCGCGAGGAAGCCACCUGGUUGGAAGGGUGGUGACGGUAGUGGUAGAAGAAGCACCGGCUAACUACGUG